UUUACUAUGGAAAAGAAUCACUACACAACCUUAGUUACAGUAACUUUUCUUUGCAGUAGAAAUAUACCUUUCUCCUAUUGCUACUCUCAUUUUCAUUGCUCACAGCGUGGACCCACUCCCUUUUAUUCAUUUAAAGUAAACCCCUUUUCUCUCAAACAAUUCCAUGCAGGGAGUAAAUCCUAGGCUCCCACCAUUUCUCUCUCUCACGCAAGGACCAAACUAAUACAAUAUUAAAAUAUUCUAUGAAAAAUCUCUUCCAUUUCCACGCUUACAGAUGCAGUCCAUCUCCACUAUAAUACUUAAAAGUAUCACUUUUAACUCUCUCCACCAGAACUAAACUCCCAUACACGUUCACGCUUUCCUUCCUAACUAUCCCUUCCACCACUACAGCAAGACCCAUGUCCAUACAACACUCUCCACUCCUUUCCACUUUACUCCCAACAUUCUCCUACAAUCCAAACCCUUAAAACCAUCUACCUCCACCUUCUGUUCUAUCCUAAAACUUACAACUUCCAAUAUAUAAAACNUUUUCUCUUACAACUNAGAACCCAUACNUACCACCCAUAAAACUNUGCNCGGUACUCCUCUCCUGAUUUUCAUUGUAACCAUUAAAACUCAACCUCAUUGUUUCCACACUCUCCUCAUUUCAUCAUUCUAAAAUCCCAUAUAUAAUCCCUACAGUAAAUAAAACAUACCCCUCUCUACUCACGCCUAAUCAUAAAAAUCUCUUCCUUUUAACGAGGCACGACGCACCCAAUUUUCCCUAAAAAAAGAAAAACCAUUCAAAACUAACAACUUAACAUACUAAGCCCCUGUUACAUGUGCCCAAACAAAAAGAAAAGAAAUUUACCAUAUUCCAUUCAAAUCACAAACAUCAAUUAUCAGUUCCAUAAUUUAAACAGUCAGGAAACACAUAAUUUAUCAUACAAAAUACUAAAAUCAACUCAAACAAUGCCACAGAACCACAACACAGUCUACACAAUAUUUUGUUCUACAAAUUUCAAUUUAAAGAAAAGAAAGACCUAGUUUCCCUUACCUUCAAUUGGUAGCACAGUACAAAAGGAAUUUGCCCCCUUUUUCUUAAUCCUCAAUUAAGCAAGAGUCACCUAUAGAUAGAUAAAUUGUAGAUAGAAAAGGGUUUUUAGGAUCUAAUAUAAACUAGAAAUUUUUGAAAAAAAGGACAAAAUGAAUCACAUGCAGCAAAACUGUUGCAUGCCCCAUAGCCCCAAAUUGCACGGAAAAGUGAGAAACAACUUACCCGCGGAGGAACCUAGAAAUUGAUCGGUGCAACUCGAAGCCUUUAACGUCAAGAUAGUCUAAGCGUUUACGGAAUGGAGAUUUAAUGGCUCAAUUGAAGAAUCUAGAGAGAAGAAUGGGUUUUGGAGAAGGUUAGAGAGAUGUUUGAAGGAGAAAAAAAAAGAAAUGCACGUUUCUCAAAAUGCCUUCAGAAACUGUUUGUGAGUUUUAUUUAUUUAUUUAUUUUAUUU
rnacentral:lncRNA from 1 species